rnacentral:rRNA from 1 species
UACGUAGGGUGCGAGCGUUAAUCGGAAUUACUGGGCGUAAAGCGUGCGCAGGCGGUUGUGCAAGACAGAUGUGAAAUCCCCGGGCUACACUGGGAAUGCAUUUGUGACUGCACGGCUAGAGUGUGUCAGAGGGGGGUAGAAUUCCACGUGUAGCAGUGAAAUGCGUAGAGAUGUGGAGGAAUACCGAUGGCGAAGGCAGCCCCCUGGGAUAACACUGACGCUCAUGCACGAAAGCGUGGGGAGCAAACAGG